rnacentral:hammerhead_ribozyme from 1 species
UUCCAGCAGACGAGUCCCAGAUAGGAUGAAACGUGCGUCCUUGAU